CCUACGGGAGGCAGCAGUGAGGAAUAUUGGUCAAUGGACGAGAGUCUGAACCAGCCAAGUAGCGUGAAGGAUGACUGCCCUAUGGGUUGUAAACUUCUUUUAUAUGGGAAUAAAACGUUCCACGUGUGGGAUUUUGUAUGUACCAUAUGAAUAAGGAUCGGCUAACUCCGUGCCAGCAGCCGCGGUAAUACGGAGGAUCCGAGCGUUAUCCGGAUUUAUUGGGUUUAAAGGGAGCGUAGGUGGAUUGAUAAGUCAGUUGUGAAAGUUUGCGGCUCAACCGUAAAAUUGCAGUUGAAACUGGCAGUCUUGAGUACAGGAGAGGUGGGCGGAAUUCGUGGUGUAGCGGUGAAAUGCUUAGAUAUCACGAAGAACUCCGAUUGCGAAGGCAGUUCACUGGACUGCAACUGACACUGAGGCUCGAAAGUGUGGGUAUCAAACAGGAUUAGAUACCCGGGUAGUC
rnacentral:rRNA from 1 species